UUGACACUCGAAAUCACAAUGUCAUGGCGCCAUGUUCCAACGUAACUUAGCCCAGCUGACAUUUUUAGUGAGUAACAUAAUUUAUUUCCAAAAAUUCAAGGAACAUUUGCGUACAUAGCUAAAUUUAUACUUUUUGAAUUAAGAGGCCUUCUGAAAUGUCAAACCCAGUUGACAUCAAAUCUGGAACCAACUUUUUAUUUAAAAAUAGUCAUCAAGUUUGCUUCUCAGCGAAGUAUAGGGCAUUGAAAGCAAACAAAAGUAUUCCUUCAUCCAGCAAAUUAUCCUCACUUACGGUAUUGGCUUAAUUCGAGUUGGAAGUCGCCUUCAAUGCUUAAAUUUAGAGUUUGAUGCACUUCAUCCCAUUUACUACCUAAAAACCAUCAACUUAUAAUAUGUUUAGUGAUUCAUCAACAAUUUUGGUCCAUCGGUGGAAAAACUGAUCUCUUUCCUUUCAUGAUAUUAAGUUACAAUUUCACGACGGACGGGCAGUUAAAUCAGAAUAGUCUAUAUCACAGCCAAAACGCAAAAAGUAAACAAAUCCUUUUUCUAUAUGAUAAAGAAUUAUUUGCUUACUUAUUACUUAAUGGUAGGUGAUGCUAAGCGAUAACAGUCGAUUCCGAGGGUGUCCUUCAUGAGCAAGCUCCAAAAGCCUAAGUCGGAGCAACUUCGGAACUACCAGACGGUUACCUCGUAACAGUAUGUCGCCGACGGCGGAUAGCUCGUAACGAAAAGGAUAAUAGCAAAUAGUCGAAUCGGCUGGCCACAAAUUGCUCUUAAUAAUUCACUUAUUCAAACUCUUAUCAGAUUAAAAAGUAAUAAAAUAUUUCCACAGAACAAACAAGUGCUAAACC
rnacentral:sRNA from 1 species